UUUUAAAAAGAAUUUAUUUAUUUUUACUGUUAAAAACUGGCUUGAUUGACAAAAUAAUCAGACAAUUACACUGGUGUGAAACAUGUACCUCAUUCUGACAUACAAUAAUCAGUUUUUAAUUGUAGAAAUGGAUGAAAAUUUUAAUA
rfam:Gossypium raimondii Chr06_contig_1302, whole genome shotgun sequence.